AGCAAGAUAAAAUUUUCUGAGGGGGAGCUUCUUCUCGGAUCACUGGCUCAGACCCAUUAGAUGGGGCAGCCAUGUAACGACCGAGAGCAUGUUUUCUGGGCAAGGGGAAGACUUUUUUAACGUAGGGUCCUACAGAUUCUCUCUCUCUAUCCUUCUAUGUAUAUGUAUAAAUGAGUCGACUUUAGUCAGAAGAGCAAUGGGUAGGAAGGUGGGUGGGCGGGAGCCAGUGGGAAGGGAGAGAGUCGCUAUCGUGGCUAGGCAAAACGGCCUUACCGGUAUCGCAUGUGGAGGUUGAUGACGGAGGUCGGCCGGCGAUAGUGGCAGGGCCUUUAAAAUCUUCGGUUGCCGGCGCAGGGCCGGAGAAGGCCGGGGGCUCCUGCGAUCAGAGAGAGGAAGGUGGGCUCGGCGUCAGCUCAGAUUCCAUGGUCUUCGGCAGGGCCGAGGAGGAGGAGGAGGCCAGACGCCCCCAAGAGGCCAGACCUCCGGCUUUCCUUCUUCCCCGAAGACGAUUAUGCCCGGCCUGCACCUGAGAUUCCUCUUCUGGGUGCUGCUGGCGGCGGCGCGAUCGCCGCCGGGGCUCG
rnacentral:lncRNA from 1 species